GUCUACCAAAUAGCAUCUCGUCCAGGUCAGAGUUCGAGGUGCACCCAACUUUUGAUACAGCACUUCAUGGUUCCUCGAAUGCCAUUGGUGACAUAUGUGACAGGACUUGUUGUAAUAAAGUGUUGUCCUAUGUGACCAAAAACUUGCUAUGAUUUGAUUUGAACCAGUGUUAGUGUACCACGUACUGUGAUGCUUGAAAGAUAGGUGGGAAGUAAUAAAAAUAAGCUUGUCAAUUUUCGUGCGGGACAGCGGUUGUGAAGGAUGCUUCCUGUUAUCUCAGAAACUAGCAGCUUGACCCCCCAUUUUCUGUGAUUUAUUUCAAGGUUCUUUGGAAUCCACUGGCUGAUGGUGCAGGGAUAUUCAUGCACAAACACAACAGACGGAAGUUUUCGGCACCUAUAGGCAUUUUUGUUAGCCCAACCUGAACUGUCACAUUUGGCUGAGCUGCCCUCCGCCCCCUGGAUCUUACUUCAGGUUUCUCCACUUCGUCAUACAAGGACAUGUAAGGCUGUCCUUCUCAAAUGUAGCCCACUGGACACUUUCUGAAAGUGUGUGGUAGCAGUAUAGGUAGUAGUCUACCAAAUAGCAUCUCGUCCAGGUCAGAGUUCGAGGUGCACCCAACUUUUGAUACAGCACUUCAUGGUUCCUCGAAUGCCAUUGGUGACAUAUGUGACAGGACUUGUUGUAAUAAAGUGUUGUCCUAUGUGACCAAAAACUUGCUAUGAUUUGAUUUGAACCAGUGUUAGUGUACCACGUACUGUGAUGCUUGAAAGAUAGGUGGGAAGUAAUAAAAAUAAGCUUGUCAAUUUUUGUGCGGGACAGCGGUUGUGAAGGACGCUUCCUGUUAUCUCAGGAGCUAGCAGCUUGACCCCCCAUUUUCUGUGAUUUAUUUCAAGGGUGAGGUGUUCUAGUAUUUAUAUAUGUUGUGUGUAUGUUGAUUGAUACGUUGCAUCUAACUGUUA